UACGUAGGGGGCUAGCGUUGCUCGGAAUCACUGGGCGUAAAGCGCACGUAGGCGGAUUGCUAAGUCAGGGGUGAAAUCCUGGAGCUCAACUCCAGAACUGCCUUUGAUACUGGCAAUCUCGAGUCCGGGAGAGGUGAGUGGAACUGCGAGUGUAGAGGUGAAAUUCGUAGAUAUUCGCAAGAACACCAGUGGCGAAGGCGGCUCACUGGCCCGUUACUGACGCUGAGGCACGAAAGCGUGGGGAGCAAACAGG
rnacentral:rRNA from 1 species